CUAGCAUCAAGUACACUACUCAAAAAGUUCCCUACAAUUUGUUUAACGACUCUCUCCUUUAGCUUAUGUAUCCCUUUUGCGGGUUUCUUCGUACUUCCACCACCAAGUUGUCCUCCAAAUUUGCCAAGAGUCAUAUUCAGUUCAAACAUCUUCUCUUCUCUUUCUUUAUGUUUACUCACGCUACACUAAACGAUAGCCUCUGUUUCUUUUGAGGCUUUCCACUAAAUGCAUUCAUUUAUUAUUCUCCAAUGCUUUUUUAGCUUAUUUCCAUGUCAUGUACCUUCAAAGAUUAAGAUCAUGUAAUAAGAAUAUAAACUUGCAUCAUCAUGGAGAGUGCUAAACUUGUCAAUGUCUUCAAAGUAAGAAAAAACAUAAUGAAUUUGAGGAU
rnacentral:lncRNA from 1 species